AAAUCUCAAGUUUCAAAUUCAUUUGCCAAACUAUAAAUUAUAGCUUUCAGAUCCAAGAAAACCCCUUCCCCUCAUCUGAGGCGAAAAACCCUUCGCAUUUGAUCAAUCAUAGCCCACGUAGUCAACAGAAGCCAGAAACCACCUAUGGAAACAAUAAUUAAAUCUCAAGUUUCAAAUUCAUUUGCCAAGAACAAAAGUUGUCAUAAAUUUCUUUGAACACAGAAAGAUCAAGAUAUUUAAAUACUCUCUCCCUCUCUGUAUUGAAUCCUUGACCGAAAACAGAAACUGCAAGAAGAAUUUGAAAAUUA
rnacentral:misc_RNA from 1 species